rnacentral:sRNA from 1 species
CGGCGAAAAAUUCUUCGUAAAAUAUUUUGAUUUUUCAAAACUUUUGCUAUAAUACAUAUAGAUAGCUAUUAAGUUUAGCUAUCCGAAAUAAUUAAAACAAGGAAGUAAAAAGUAAAAUGGCAAACGGAAAAGUGAAGUGGUUUAACGACCAGAAAGGUUAUGGUUUCAUUACGCCCGAAGACGGUUCUAAAGAUCUCUUUGUGCACUAUCAGGAAAUUCAGGGCGAUGGUUUCAAAACCUUAGCCGAGGGCCAGGAAGUGGAAUUCGAAAUCGUAGAAUCCGAAAAAGGCCCGAAAGCCGUGAAAGUCGUUAAAAAAUAAAUUUUUAUUUUUUAGACUUUUCAACCCCGUGCCUUCGGGCACGGGUUUUU